GGCCUCAUCGUCUAACGGUUAGGACGUCUCGUUCUCAACGAGCAAAUCGGAGUUCGAUUCUCCGUGGGGCUA
rnacentral:tRNA from 1 species